UACGUAGGGAGCAAGCGUUGUCCGGAAUCAUUGGGCGUAAAGAGCGCGUAGGCGGCCCUGUAAGUCCGCUGUGAAAGUCAAGGGCUCAACCCCUUGGAUGCCGGUGGAUACUGCAGGGCUAGAGUCCGGAAGAGGCGAGUGGAAUUCCUGGUGUAGCGGUGAAAUGCGCGGAUAUCAGGAGGAACACCAAUGGCGAAGGCAGCUCGCUGGGACGUGACUGACGCUGAGACGCGAAAGCGUGGGGAGCAACAGG
rnacentral:rRNA from 1 species